rnacentral:rRNA from 1 species
CUACGGGCCGCUGCAGUUAAGAAUCUUCCGCAAUGGACGAAAGUCUGACGGAGCGACGCCGCGUGGGUGAAGAAGGCCGAGAGGUUGUAAAGCCCUUUUCUGCUUGAGGAAUAAGCCUGGUAGGGAAUGACCGGGUGAUGACGGUAGGGCAGGAAUAAGCCCCGGCUAAUUACGUGCCAGCAGCCGCGGUAACACGUAUGGGGCGAGCGUUGUUCGGAAUCAUUGGGCGUAAAGGGCGUGUAGGCGGAAAUGCAAGUCUGGUGUGAAAGACCGCAGCUCAACUGCGGGGACGCGCUGGAAACUGCAUAUCUUGAGUUCCGGAGGGGGAGUUGGAAUUCCUGGUGUAGGGGUGAAAUCUGUUGAUAUCAGGAAGAACAUCGGUGGCGAAGGCGAACUCCUGGACGAGAACUGACGCUGAGGCGCGAAAGCGUGGGGAGCGAACAGGAUUAGAUACCCCUGUAGUC